GACGAACGCUGGCGGCGUGCCUAGUACAUGCAAGUCGAGCGAAGUUUUUCUGGUGCUUGCACUAGAAAAACUUAGCGGCGAACGGGUGAGUAACACGUAAAGAACCUGCCUCAUAGACUGGGACAACUAUUGGAAACGAUAGCUAAUACCGGAUAACAGCAUUAACUGCAUGGUUGAUGUUUAAAAGUUGGUUUUGCUAACACUAUGAGAUGGCUUUGCGGUGCAUUAGCUAGUUGGUGGGGUAAAGGCCUACCAGGGCGACGAUGCAUAGCCGACCUGAGAGGGUGAUCGGCCACACUGGGACUGAGACACGGCCCAGACUCCUACAGGAGGCAGCAGUAGGGAAUCUUCCGCAAUGGGCGAAAGCCUGACGGAGCAACGCCGCGUGAGUGAAGAAGGAUUUCGGUUCGUAAAGCUCUGUUAUUAGGGAAGAAUGAUUGUGUAGUAACUAUACACAGUAGAGAMGGUACCUAACCAGAAAGCCACGGCUAACUACGUGC
rnacentral:rRNA from 1 species